rnacentral:lncRNA from 1 species
GGCCUGGAGGUGGGUGGGGAGGCUCUGGCAACAGAUGGGUGCAGUGCGAUGCCUCUCUCCCCUCCCCACACCCAGACUCUGAGAGCACGGAGCCCCUCAGUGUGGAUGGCAUCUCCUCAGACCUUGAAGAGCCAGCUGAGGGCGAUGAAGAAGAGGAAGAAGAGGAGGGAGGCAUGGGCCCCUAUGGGCUACAGGAGGGCAGCCCCCAGACUCCAGACCAGGAGCAGUUUCUAAAACAGCACUUUGAGACUCUGGCCAGUGGAGCUGCUCCAGGGAACCAUCCCCGUCCUCCUCAAGCCUGGCACUGAUGUCGAGACCAGCCCAGGUGCCACAGGCAUCUGGUGAGCAGCCGAGAGGCAAUGGUGCCAAUCCCCCUGGAGCACCCCCGGAGGUGGAACCGUCCUCUGGCAACCCCAGCCCCCAGCAGGCAGCCUCUGUGCUGUUGCCAUGAUGCCGUCUCAACCCUGACAGCAGCUGGGCUCCCAAGAGAGUGGCCACAGCCAGCCCCUUUUCUGGACUCCAGAAGGCCCAGUCUGUGCACAGUCUGGUGCCACAGUAAAGACAUGAGGCCAGUCUGCAGGCCCCUUCACCAGGCGCACUGCUGUCUUGGGAGGUCGAAGCUCAGGAUGGUCUGGGCUCCCUGCCCCCAGCUGAUGGCCGUCCGUCUCGGCCUCACUCCUAUCAGAACCCCACCACCAGUUCCAUGGCCAAGAUAUCCCGCAGUAUCUCUGUUGGGGAGAACCUGGGCCUGGUGGCUGAACCUUAAGCUCAUGCCCCCAUCCGAGUCUCACCACUCAGCAAGCUGGCCCUGCCCAGCCGGGCUCACCUGGUCCUGGACAUCCCCAAACCACUGCCUGACCGUCCUACCCUGGCUGCAUUCUCUCCCAUCACCAAAGGCCGGGCCCCUGGCGAGGCAGAAAAGCCUGGCUUCCCGGUGGGCCUAGGAAAAGCUCACAGUACAACUGAGAGAUGGGCCUGUUUGGGGGAGGGCACCACUCCCAAGCCUAGGAGAGAGUGCCAGGCUCAUCCUGGGCCCAGCAGCCCCUGUGCCCAGCAACUGCCAGUCAGCAGCCUCUUCCAAGGCCCUGAAAACUUGCAGCCCCCACCCCCUGAGAAGACUCCCAACCCCAUGGAAUGCACCAAGCCAGGGGCAGCCCUGAGCCAGGAUUCAGGUGUGCACAGCUCCCCAGCUCUCAUCUCCUGCCCCAUCCUUACUCUCCCCUCUCUGUUGGCCACUGUCUGGCUCCAUCCCAUUUCUGUGGGUACAGCUUCUGGUGUUUCUUGUCCUGUCUGCUCCUGUCGCAGGUCCGUAAGUCACACCCCUGAUGGUGAGACCCUCCUGCUAACCUUCAUGAUUUCCUUGUGACUCACUUGCCCAUUCAGUGGCUUCUGAACUUGGGGCUGGCCGUCUCCU